rnacentral:rRNA from 1 species
GAUGAACGCUGGCGGCGUGCCUAAUACAUGCAAGUCGAGCGAACGGACGAGAAGCUUGCUUCUCUGAUGUUAGCGGCGGACGGGUGAGUAACACGUGGAUAACCUACCUAUAAGACUGGGAUAACUUCGGGAAACCGGAGCUAAUACCGGAUAAUAUUUUGAACCGCAUGGUUCAAUAGUGAAAGACGGUCUUGCUGUCACUUAUAGAUGGAUCCGCGCUGCAUUAGCUAGUUGGUAAGGUAACGGCUUACCAAGGCAACGAUGCGUAGCCGACCUGAGAGGGUGAUCGGCCACACUGGAACUGAGACACGGUCCAGACUCCUACGGGAGGCAGCAGUAGGGAAUCUUCCGCAAUGGGCGAAAGCCUGACGGAGCAACGCCGCGUGAGUGAUGAAGGUCUUCGGAUCGUAAAACUCUGUUAUUAGGGAAGAACAUAUGUGUAAGUAACUGUGCACAUCUUGACGGUACCUAAUCAGAAAGCCCCGGCUAACUACGUG